CGCGUUCCGAUUGCUCGUCGUCACUCGCAAUCGGCCUCCCGCGGCGCACGCCGCUCGGCUUGACCAAAUCCGCGCGCGACCACCAAAUGACCUCCGAUCCGCGAUCCGGAAAUUAAAGGUCUUCGGUUUCUUGUCACGAUGCUUCAAAUCCGUUUCCAGAAUUUUACGACGUCGCCUCGGCCCUCCAGGCGGAAACAAAGCCUAAACGUCCGUUUAUUUAAUAACUUCGCACCGGCUCGACGAAUCGCCGAACCGUCGCUUCCAACGCGUUCAGUGACCUAACAAUUAGGUUUACAGAGGGUCAAAUUAGAUCAAACGCUCAUAUUUUCAAAAUUAGCAUUUUUUAGCCCUAACAUGAAAUAACCUCCAAAUAAUCCAAAUUAAAUGGAACAAUAUGCUAAUAAUGAUCAUUAGAGGCUACUAGAACUCUUAAAGCUAAGGAUUAAGCCAAAUCCCAAAAGCUUACCUCAAUGUGAACGCCGCAACGAAAACACGCCGCUCCAACGGGCGCACGGAAACUCGAUCCGUCGCCUCCAACGCGUUCGCAAGCUCGAUCUCCACCAACCCUCCAAUUUUUAAAGAGAGAUAUAGAGAGAUGAGAGAGAUAUUUAGAGAGAGAAAGGAGGGUUUCUCUCCCCCUUUCAUGCGUGCAUGUGUGUGGCCAUGGUGGCGGUGGUCGGUUGAAGGAGAAGAAGCUGAUGCUUCUAAUUAAAGUCAACACCAACACUAUUUACUUCAGGCAACUUAAAAUCUGAUAUCUUUCGCCGGAGCUCCCAGAGUAUCCGUUUGAGCUCAAAUUUGACAGUCAUAUUCGGUUUAACGUACUGAACAAGAAUAUAUCUUAAGUUUUCAGUUUCGACACCGUUUGGUCACCGAAAACUGUAUCGAACUGCAAUCUUUAUCAGAUGGCUUUCGGAUUUUAUUUCUCACUCUACGGGUGUCAGAAAAAUAUGAAACCUUAAAUCUAGCCUCAUAAAAAUAUUUCUGACUUAUUCUCCAAUUUUCAUAAUUUUCUGAGACUGUGCAUUUUCUGUUAAUUUUUCUGUCCCGUUUUCAACAGAAAAUUCUAGAUCUUCUGUUUUCAUCCCGAUUUCAGCACAAGUCACUUCUGACUUAUAUUCUACUUCUCUAAAUCCAAUAAAAAUAGUAUCUCACACUAUUUUUAUUUAUUUUCACUUUUACAUUUAAAAUCCGGUAUGUUACAUUCCACCGCAACCUUACCGGAACCUUUUAAAUGGCUUUCCAGUCGAACGUACACCGUAACCUCAUGAUUUUUGAAGUCCGGUACCUUACACUUU
rnacentral:lncRNA from 1 species